CGCAAGGCUCUAUCUUAAAUAACAAGCGAGAAACCUGGCUGUCUCACCCAAAAUGGGAUGCACUGUACAGUUUGUAUCUAUCGUUCUCCAGAACAUAAGUCAGCAGGUAAGUAUGAUUUUGGACUAUGUCCUUUAUUAAUCCUUUAGAUCUUCCGGUUGCCUGUUGGUAUAUUUAACAAACUGCGUUGUGACCUUCCAGGUAUUCUCUUAGAACCAAAAUGGGAUAAGAGGAGGUAAUAUGCUGAAUAUGUUAUUAUUGAUGUGUCUCAGUACAGCUUGUAUCUAUCGUUCUCCAGAACAUAAGUUGGCAGGUGAGUAUGAUAUUGGACUAUGACCUUUAUUAAUCCUAUUGAUCUUCCGAUUGCCUGUUGGUAUAUUUAACAAACUGCGUUGUGACGUUCCAGGUAUUCUCAACUGUGUUGUGACGUUCCAGGUAUUCUCUUAGAACCAAAAUCGAAAGAGAGGAGGUAAUAUGCUGAAUAUGUUAUUACUGAUGUGUCUCAGUACAGCUUGCAUCUAUCGUUCUCCAGAACAUAAGUUGGCAGGUAAGUAUAAUUUUGGACUAUGUCCUUUAUUAAUCCUAUAGAUCUUCCGGUUGCCUGUUGGUAUAUUUGACAAACUGCGUUGUGACGUUCCAGGUAUUUUCUUGGAGCCAAAAUGGGGCAAGAGGAGGUAAUAUGCUGACUAUAGUAUUAUUUAUGUGUCUCAGUACAGCCUGCAUCUAUCGUUCUCGAGAACAUAAGUUGGCAGGUAAGUAUGAUUUUGGACUAUGUCCUUUAUUAAUCCUAUAGAUCUUCCGGUUGCCUGUUGGUAUAUUUAACAAACUGCGUUGUGACGUUCCAGGUAUUCUCUUGGAGCCAAAAUGGAGGAAGAGGAGGUAAUAUGCUGAAUAUAUUAUUAUUUAUGUGUCUCAGUACAGCUUGUAUUUAUCGUUCUCCAGAACAUAAGUCGGCAGGUGAGUAUGAUAUUGGACUAUGUCCUUUAUUAAUCCUAUAGAUCCUCCAGUUGCCUGAUGGUAUAUUCAGCAAACUGCGUUGUGACGUUCCAGGUAUUCUCUUGAAACCAAAAUGGGACAAGAGGAGGUAAUAUGCUGAAUAUGUUAUUAUUGAUGUGUCUCAGUACAUAUUGUAUCUAUCGUUCUCCAGAACAUAAGUCGGCAGGUAUUCUCUUGGAGCCAAUAUGGGGCAAGAGGAAGUGAUAUGCUGAAUACCUUCAGUAGCCUGGUUGCAUCUCCUGCAUUGAUCGGUCGGCAAGCAACCUGAUCCUGCACUACCAGAAUUCGACCUUCAGUCUCGGGAAAUAGGUUUCUUGGAUACCUGGCAUGCAAUGGUUUACAGUUCCGUUCCUCUCGUUGUUUCUCUACAGUAAUACCCAUUAAUGGUGCAGUUGCAGAUGACAAAUGCAAUGGUGUAAUCCUUUUAUCCACUUCGCAUAUUGUCUUCUUGAAAGGUGAGUUGUUGUUAUUCAUGGAAUAUUCUCUAAGACUGCUCACUACUCGGUUAUGGGCUAUAGCAAGGAUUUGCAUGCCUCUGCCACCUUUUUUUCUUGGGAUUUUCAAAUUUUUUAUUGGAGGCGUGCGGGAGAUGCUACUUUUCUUUAUUGAAACUUUCUGUUUUCUGUUGUGUAAAUAAGAUAUGAACCAGGAGAUGGCAUUAUCUCUAAUUCCACUUUUCUCCAGCUUCAGCAACAAGAGACAUUAUCUUGAUAAACAAUCAUAGGCUCUUGUAAGAUUGAUGAAAAUGGCUAGAGCUAGAUUGUCCUGUUCAAUUAGUUCAUGUAUCUCCAUCGUGUACUCAAAAAUUUUAGUUUGUCUUGAUCUGCCCUUAAGGUACCCAUAUUGCGACGUUGAAAAACUGUUGCACUCCUCCAUGAAACCCAUUAAUCUUCUGCUUAUAACAUGCUUGAAAAUUUUUGAGAAACUUGGCAAAAUACUGAUAAGGCGGUAGUUCCCAAAUAGCACAUCAUCCCCCUUUUUAUGAAUUGGAUGUAUCAGUACCAAUUUUAGUUGCUCAGGAAAUUAACCAUAUCUAAGCGAGUUAUUAAUUAUAUUUAAUAGUAUACAACUCAAACCCUAUGCAUUAGGUUCAAUGAGACUAACUGGUAAUUCAUCGUCAUCAUAAGAAUGAUUAUUCUUCAGAUUUCUUAUUUUCCCCAAUAUUUUCUCUUCUGUGGUUGAUUGAAGAAACAUACAAAAUUGUUUUCUUCAUUUUUUGGACCUUUCAGUCCAUUGCAUAUGGCUCACAUUGUUUUUUGUUAAUUAUCAGAGUCCAGAAGUCUGAAACUGAAUUUUGCCGUCAUGAGCAAUCGAUCGUUUUUUUGUUUUUCAAGAAUGUCCUGCUCAUUGAACUCUUGAUUUUUUUGUUUCAAAGUCAACAGAAUAUCUUCUAAUUUCUUCUUUCAUUUGUUCAGUUCUUCGUUAUUAGGGUAGCGGUAGGUGAAUCUCUAGCGAUUCACCUAUCAGGAGAGUUGAAUCGACUCCUGCCCACCGCAGAUUCCAGGAGCUCCCUGACCCGGGAAGCUGAUACCUGUCGAAGGGGUAACGGACG